rnacentral:rRNA from 1 species
UACGUAGGUGGCAAGCGUUAUCCGGAUUUACUGGGUGUAAAGGGCGUGUAGGCGGGAGAGCAAGUCAGAUGUGAAAACCAUGGGCUCAACCUGUGGCCUGCAUUUGAAACUGUUUUUCUUGAGUACUGGAGAGGCAGACGGAAUUCCUAGUGUAGCGGUGAAAUGCGUAGAUAUUAGGAGGAACACCAGUGGCGAAGGCGGUCUGCUGGACAGCAACUGACGCUGAGGCGCGAAAGCGUGGGGAGCAAACAGG